GGCAGUGUGGCAUAGUGGUUUAAGCAUUAAACUACAGUUCUGGAGACCAGGGUUCAAAUCACUGCUCAGAGG